rnacentral:rRNA from 1 species
UACGGAGGGUGCAAGCAUUAAUCGGAUUUAUUGGGCGUAAAGGGCGCGUAGGCGGUAAGGAAAGUCAGAUGUGAAAUUCCGGGGCUCAACUUCGGAGCAGCAUCUGAAACUUCCAUACUGGAGGUAAGGCGGGGAAAACGGAAUUCCGCAUGUAGUGGUGAAAUACGUAGAUAUGCGGAAGAACACCGGUGGCGAAGGCGGUUUUCUAGCCUUUACCUGACGCUGAAGCGCGAAAGCGUGGGGAGCAAACAGG